rnacentral:rRNA from 1 species
AUUGAACGCUGGCGGCAGGCCUAACACAUGCAAGUCGAACGGUAACAGGAAGAAGCUUGCUUCUUUGCUGACGAGUGGCGGACGGGUGAGUAAUGUCUGGGAAACUGCCUGAUGGAGGGGGAUAACUACUGGAAACGGUAGCUAAUACCGCAUAACGUCGCAAGCCCAAAGAGGGGGACCUUCGGGCCUCUUGCCAUCGGAUUUGCCCAGAUGGGAUUAGCUAGUAGGUGGGGUAACGGCUCACCUAGGCGACGAUCCCUAGCUGGUCUGAGAGGAUGACCAGCCACACUGGAACUGAGACACGGUCCAGACUCCUACGGGAGGCAGCAGUGGGGAAUAUUGCACAAUGGGCGCAAGCCUGAUGCAGCCAUGCCGCGUGUAUGAAGAAGGCCUUCGGGUUGUAAAGUACUUUCAGCGGGGAGGAAGGGAGUAAAGUUAAUACCUUUGCUCAUUGACGUUACCCGCAGAAGAAGCACCGGCUAACUCCGUG